rnacentral:tRNA from 1 species
GGAGAUGUAGCUCAGUGGUAGAGUGCCUGCUUUUCAUGUAUGAGGUCCUGGGUUCACUUCCCAGUACCUCCU